UAAAAAAUUGAACGGAUGGCUUAAUUGAUGUCACUCAUACAUAAAACCCUAACGAUAUCGCGAUUUUCAAUUCGUCACCAAACACGACCGCGCAUCAGCGCCAAGUAGGAAAGCUAGUUGCAGAGAAGCAACUGAAAAUCCAUGGCUGACAAAGCUGUGACGAUGAGAACGAGGAAAUUCCUGAAUAACCGGCUAGUCAGUUGGCAAGCAUGAAGGCUCCUCAGAAGUUCAUGGUAUGAAGGCUGAGUUGAAGGACAAGUUGGCAAGCAUACAUGAGGUGAAAGACCAGAAUACGCUAUUUGUCUUCAAGUUCCGUACACGUUUGGGGGGUGGCAAAUCAACUGGGUUUCGGCUGAUAUAUGAUUCCUUGGAUAAUGUGAAGAAGUAUGAGCCUAAAUACAGGCUGAUUAGGACUAAAGCCGGAGAUGCUGCCUGAGGGGGAGGGGGAGAAGUGAGAUCCAAAAGCUAACCUUUUGCAGUAAUACAACUGUGCACUUUCCUUUUGCAGUAAUACAACUGUGCACUUUUUAACUUUUUUUUCAUUACUCUUUCUUAGCUGUCAAACAUUCAAUGAUAUUUUUUUAAUCUUCUUGAUUGAGAUGCUUUCUCUCACGUUUUGAGUUCUGAUGCAAUUGCACCCAUUUCUUUUAUAUU